rnacentral:lncRNA from 1 species
CUCUUACUCUCCCAAGCUCUGCUACCUAAUGCUGCUGUGAAAUAGCAAAUUUCCAAGGAACAGAGAAUUUUACUUCAUUUGGUAUCACAACAUUUUCCAGAAGAAUUUCCAGUUGCUUAAUGAAAAUUUGAACAUUGGACUCUACCAGUGUGGCAAGAGAGCUGUUUGUUCAUUACAUAUAAUGCUGGUCUGCCUUUCCUGUGUAAGAACUUGGCCAACAAGAAUUUACUGACCAUUUGAACCACACUGAUCUGGUGUCCCUGCAAAAUCAUGCUUUAAAAAAAUAAACAUUUUUCAGCAAAGGAGUUAUGGCAGUAGGGACAUCCUUGGGAUUCACUGAUUGUCUUCCUUACUGUACUGCCAGAGAUGAACAGGCAAUAAAAGGAGACAGCAUAUUGUCAAGAGUAAUUAGCCCUGAUCAUCAAGGAAAGGAAUAUCUUGUGCACGUUGAUUCCAGGAAGCAGAAAAGAAUGGAUUAUAGACACUGUGAAACUUAAUGGAUCCUCAGUAAAUGGAACAAAGUAAUACAUAUGGCAGAUAUUGAGUCUUUUGGAGAUUAUGUUCAGUUCUCUAUUAUAUUAACAUCUUCAGGGUUAGGGGGGUGUAUGAAUAUUUUAACUUUAAGGAAGAUACUACUUGAUACUAGUUGGAUGUUUUUCAAAUUUCCUUGAUAUGUAUCCUAGUAUUUUGCUGCCUUAAUGGAUUACUUCGUUUAUAUGGUGUUGUUUAUAAAUAAUGCCCUCUCAGAUUUGCUCUAUGUCAUACCUUCAAAGUAUUUGGCUGACUUUUUAAAAAGCAGUAGAAAAUUUAAAUUUUAGGGGAAUAUUUUCAGUCCUGGGAAUCUUCUAAAUGCUUCAGAAAUUAUCAAUACAAGGCAAAUAAAUGAAAUGAAAAAAAGACAUUGAAGAAAAAGCAGUGAAGUAGCUUUGAAAAUGAUUAAAGUUCCCGGACUAUAACGCGUUUGUCAUUAGUAUUUCCAUGUUAUAAAUACAAAAAUUUUGACCUACCAGUCCACUGAACUUACAGUUUUUAGUGAUAUAUUGAAAAUAUUUAUAAUAACCAAAAUAGCUACAUAGAAACUUUGGGAUGUAAGCAUGAUAGUAAUAUCUAAAAGAAUAUUUUAUAAUAAAAAGGUGGGAUAAGAGGUUUUGUUAUUACUAAAAUGAUUUAUUUAGCAUUGCUUUCCUUGAAACAUUUGCGAAAUGAGUACUUAAAAUAAUGGAGACCAAAAUAGCUUAUUUAUUUAUUUUCUUGCAUAUUUUUUCUCCAUAUAUACAUUUUUUUCCUGAUGAUGCAAUUAUUCAAUUCAAAAACUAAAUUUUCUCACUUCCUUAUAUAAAAUGUUUUUUCUUAUUAUUCUUUUUUAUUUUGUAAACAUAUAUUAACCAUUUCCUAAUACUAUUUAUUCUAAUUGCCUGGAGGAACCUUUUUUUCCUUUCCAAUUCAAGCAAAUUUUGGAGUGUGCCCUAGGUAGUUGAAAUAUUCUGGCUCAUGACCAAAUUUAAUUUUUUCUCUUCCUAAUGCAUCCUACCAGUACAAGUGACUAAUAAAAUAGACACUAGCUGGAUCUGGAGAUUAAUCCAGCACCAUUUUUUUCCUGAAUCUAAAAUCUCCAUCAUUAAUUUACCUACAAAUUAUUUUGACUCUAUACUUAUGAGGGAAGAAUUACUAUAGAUGUAGUGUGUUUCUUCAAACUGAUGUAGAAAUAAAUAUGAAAUUUGUCCUCUCUAGUUUGGAAAUAUGUAUUACUGAAAUAGCAUGUCAAAAAUACCUUCUUGUUAUCUGGGAAUUCAAUUUGGUCUUCAGCAAGAACACUCGUUUUAAUAAAAUAUAAAAAAAUAAAAUAAAUAUAUCUGCUGGAAUGAAAUCUGAGUUCUUGAGAAUAUAAUUUAAUAUGAGCCACUGAAUACAAGGUUAAUUCAUCUUCAUAGCAUGAGAAAUGAAAAGGAUUUGGGGGAUAAAAUGAGGUAGACCAGAAAGAAAUGUGGGUAUAACGUAUAGAAAAUACCAUCCCCAGAUUAUUUUACAAAGCAUCACAAAAUGAGACAUUUGAGAGACAAUUCUCCAUAGUUCUCUCUUUUCUCUCUUUUGAAUGACUCACUGACAGCCUUUGGUUUGGACAAUGUUUUUAAAGAUAUUUAUAUAAAAGUACGCCUUGAAAGGAAAGAUAAUCUCAUAAUAAAGAGGAGAAGGCUGAUUUGCUGUCUAGAAUAAGAACUGUAUUUUUUUUUCUCUCUGUUGCAAACAUUGGGCCAGUUUGCUUAAACGAUAGCAACUGGAGUUGCUAAAGCGUAUGCUUCUUCAUUCAGGGCCCAAAUCCACCAAUGUGCAGCAUGUCGUUGCGUCACCCCAGAGAAACUUGUAUAUCAAGGAGAACCUACACAAUCCUAACUGCUGCCUGCUCUGCCUCUCCUUCUCUCCCUUCCUUCUUUCUCUCCUACUAUUUUUUUCUUUAGUUGUGUGAGUUCUUGUUUUUCACUAGAAAUCAAAGAAAUUGUCUCAGUUAUACCUCUGGACUUGGAAGAUCGAGAAAUAAAAUGGAUGGAUCAGGUGCUGAGAUAAAUGUAUCAAUAUCAAGAUUCUACAAAUUUAAAUCUUCAGGCCUAAAGUACACAUGAGAACAUAAACCUCAAAGAAUUUAUACCAACCCUAACAUAGCUGUGAAAUUUUCUCACAAAUAAAGAAGUAUCUAAACCUAUUUGAUGAAAAAGUUAAAGGGCAAAUUCAAAAGGUUAACAUUUAUUUUUCCCUAAUUUAGCACAAUGAAAUAAUUAUAGAGUACAUUAUGAGGAAAUACACAAUAAAGCAUAUUUUUAA